UACGUAGGUGGCAAGCGUUGUCCGGAUUUAUUGGGUUUAAAGGGUGCGUAGGCGGUUCCAUAAGUCAGUGGUGAAAUACAAUAGCUUAACUAUUGAGGUGCCAUUGAUACUGCGGAACUUGAGUACAGACGAGGUAGGCGGAAUUGACGGUGUAGCGGUGAAAUGCUUAGAUAUCGUCAAGAACACCGAUAGCGAAGGCAGCUUACUAGACUGUAACUGACGCUGAGGCACGAAAAGUGUGGGGGAUCAAAACAGG
rnacentral:rRNA from 1 species